AUUUAACGGCCGCGGUAUUAUAACCGUGCAAAGGUAGCGUAAUCACUUGUCUUCUAAAUGGAGACUUGUAUGAACGGCCACCUGAGGGCCCAACUGUCUCCUAUGGUUAAUCAAUGAAACUGAUCUUUCAGUACAAAAGCUGAAAUAUCAUCACAAGACGAGAAGACCCUGUGGAGCUUUAAGCCAAACACUACCUAAACAACCUUAAGUCUAACCCUAGACACACCUCGCCUGCCACCAUAGCCUAGGCUUUAAGUUGGGGCGACUACGGAGAAAACCAAAACCUCCACGAAUUCGGGCUAACCCCCCACCACACGGAUAACAAGCCAUGCGGUUAAACACAUUGAUCCAGUAAUACUGAGAAUCGGACCAAGUUACCCCAGGGAUGACAGCGCCAUCCCCUCUAAGAGUCCAUAUCGCCGGGGGGGCUUACGACCUCGAUGUUGGAUCAGGACACCCUGGUGGUGAAGCCGCUACCAAAGGUUCGUUUGUUCAACGAUCAAUGUCCUACG
rnacentral:rRNA from 1 species